CUCCCGGCCUCCUCUCAUGCACUGAGCCCAGAGGUGGGGAUUCAGCCUGCAGCUGCGAGGCAGCCUGGAGGGGUGUGCUGGGCAUGGUAACCUGAGCAAGUGGGGCAGGGCCCUGCAUCCCUUGCUCUGCUGGAGAUGACGCUGCAGGGUCGCUGGGGCUGACAUCUCUCAGGGGAUCCCUCUUUGCAGGCUCCGGUGGGUGAGCUGAAGUUUGUGUCACAGUGCCGAGCCAGGGGACUGGGUGCCCAGAGCUGUCUGCACUUGCUGCCUUGUCCUGCAGGGCAGCUGCCUGUGCUGCUGCUCCUGUGGAGGUGGCUGGCUGGCUGACAGCAGGGCUGGGAUCCAGCCCUUUGCCUGUGGUC
rnacentral:lncRNA from 1 species